CCGCGCAGUGGUCCCGGGGAGCCACAGGGCAGACCCGGCCGCCGAGCACGCCCUCCACGCACACCAGAGAUGAUGAGAUGGACCAUAUGGCUAAAAACAGUAAGUGAGGAGGCUACGGAGAAGCAAUUGAAUCGAAACAAAGGCAGCAGUGGGAAGUCCCCCUCUGGCAAGGGACUCCAAGACACAGAGCUGGUGCCAGAAUGGAAACCUUGGGACUCCGGUUGCUGCAUAGAAAAAUAAAUUGAGGAACAAAAAUAAACACCCACAUCUCCAUGCUGGACAGCAGAAGAGCAAGAAGAGUCUGAUUCCCAUAAAUGGACAGAAUCUGCACAGGUCUAGAAGAUGGAGACAAAGAACCCAUGGAUCAGAACAUCCCUCUUUGUAGAAGUCAGCAGAGCUGGGAGAGAGAUGAAGAUUCUGGUGAACGACUUCUGUGACGAAGCCAAAACAGUUUCCCAGAAAUUAGCUGCAUUUGGAGCUCAGAAUCGAGCACGAAGAAGUGGUCUCAGGAAGCAGGUGGAGAACCUUCUUCCAAAACAGCUCCUCAUGUGAUCUUCCGCGGCCCAGGAAUCCCCUUCUCUGACCUCUUUGCAUCCUGAAGUCAUCCUACUGCUGCCUCUUGAAACGUUCCGAAGCUCUGAAAACAUGCUUAAACAUCCUCCACGGAGACAAACACUGUGUCCUGCCACUUAUAUGAGAUACUUAGAGUAGAGUCACAUUCACGGAGACAGGGGUACAACAGGGGCUGCCAGGGGCUCAGAGAGGGGGGAUGGGGAGUCGAUGUUUUAUUAUGGAGCUUCAGCUUUAUAAGAUGAAAAGAUCUGUGGAGACGGAUGGGUGGUGAUGGCUGUACAGCAUCAUGAGUGCCUUUAAUACUAUAUAUUGAAAAAUGGUGAAGAUGGCCAAUUUUGUUAUGUAUAUGUUACCACAAUAAAAAAAAAUGGGAAAACCCCUUCAAUGACCCCCUACUGCUUAAACAAUGGAACACUCAUCCCUUUGCCUACCGUGGAGCCCCACAGUCCCUUUCCAGUUUCUCUCCCAGCUUUCAUCCUCCAGGCUCCAGAUUAGAAAGCAGACUGUGUGUCUUGCCUAGGCCCUGCCUCGUACGCUCUCAGUCUGAGGCUCUGCCCACCCUGUUUCCUCUGCUCAUUUUAGCCAAUUUCAGCAUCUGUUCCUUUAUUAACAUCAGAAGUUCUGAGGUAAAGCUAUAACAUUCUCAGCAAUGCCUGAACUUUGCCUCACCACCCACUAAGCUCUAGCAUCUUUUCAAACAUCCUGAUACUCUGUCUAUAGAGGGGCACGUGCAUGUGACUUAGGAGUUAAGAGUAGAAGUAAAACACGCUAUUUCUCAGGCCUGCUUUAAUUUCAGCAGACAUGUAUGCAGGCUCCAAUGUUAACUGUACUAGGUUACAGCUUCCAAUCCAUCAUUCCAGAGGUGGGUGCCCUUGGUGAAGUAGGAAGCCACCAGGCUGGAUGCCAAGAGGCCUGGAAUCUAGUCUCAGCUCAGAUGUGAAAUUGGUAGGAGACUUUGGGACAGUCACUGAACCUCUGGGCUUCAAUCUUCCUACCUGGAAAAGAUCUAAAAUCUGUUCCAGCUGGAAAAUGCUGCCCAAGGAUGGAGAUAAUCCAUUCCUUAAUUAUUGAAUGGAACAGAAUAGAGAACCCGGAAAUAAACCCUG